rnacentral:rRNA from 1 species
UACGAAGGGGGCUAGCGUUGCUCGGAAUCACUGGGCGUAAAGCGCACGUAGGCGGCUUUCUAAGUCAGGGGUGAAAUCCUGGAGCUCAACUCCAGAACUGCCUUUGAUACUGGAGAGCUUGAGUCCGGAAGAGGUGAGUGGAACUCCGAGUGUAGAGGUGAAAUUCGUAGAUAUUCGGAAUAACACCAGUGGCGAAGGCGGCUCACUGGUCCGGUACUGACGCUGAGGUGCGAAAGCGUGGGGAGCAAACAGG